rnacentral:rRNA from 1 species
UACGAAGGGGGCUAGCGUUGCUCGGAAUCACUGGGCGUAAAGCGCACGUAGGCGGACUCUUAAGUCGGUGGUGAAAUCCUGGAGCUCAACUCCAGAACUGCCUUUGAUACUGGAGAGCUUGAGUCCGGAAGAGGUGAGUGGAACUCCGAGUGUAGAGGUGAAAUUCGUAGAUAUUCGGAAGAACACCAGUGGCGAAGGCGGCUCACUGGUCCGGUACUGACGCUGAGGUGCGAAAGCGUGGGGAGCAAACAGG